GGACCCAUAGCUCAGCGGUAGAGCAUCUGAUUCCAGCUAAAACAAAUAUCAAGCUGCCUCCAGAAGGUCAUCCGUUCAAAUCGGGUUGGGUUCA